AUCGCCAUCUUGAGCUGAGGUACCCUGCGCAGCGUAUCUCCACCAGGCUGCUGGCUGAAGUGCCCUGUUGCUCGAAGUGGUUGCUUUGCUGGGAACACCAAUCCCAUGUGUUAGGUGUGAGGCCUCUGCUCACUGUCCAUGACGGGCAAAUGAAACUAGACUAACCGCAGAGGAAGAGGUGACCCAAGGCAGCUGAGAGUAACAACAAAAUGAUGUGGUAAUAACUCUUCCUACACACUCUAGUCAAUGAUAGCAUUCCUGUUUGUGUAAGAGUGGUCUUCACAGCAACGGCACAAUACUCUCAGGUUAUUGGAGAGCUGCUUUCUUUUGGUCAAGAAGAUGGGAUUCAAAGAUAACUGCUAAUGGCCUGCGGGAGCAUGCUCAGCCAAGGUGCCUUCUGAACCCUUUCAGUUCACUGUUUUCUGGGUAA